UACGAGGGGGGCGAGCGUUGUUCGGAAUUAUUGGGCGUAAAGGGUGCGUAGGCGGCCUGACAAGUCUGAUGUGAAAUCCCUGGGCUCAACCCAGGGCCUGCAUCGGAAACUGUCGGGCUUGAGUAGUGGAGAGGAAAGCAGAAUUCCUGGUGUAGAGGUGAAAUUCGUAGAUAUCAGGAGGAACACCGGUGGCGAAGGCGGCUUUCUGGACACUUACUGACACUGAGACGCGAAAGCGUGGGGAGCAAACAGG
rnacentral:rRNA from 1 species